AUGGGUCAGCGACUUACAUUCAGUGGCAAGGUUAACCGAAUAGGGAAGCCGUAGAGAAAUCGAGUCCGAAUAGGGCGACAAGUCGCUGGGUGUAGACCCGAAACCAAGUGAUCUAUCCAUGGCCAGGAUGAAGGUGCGGUAACACGCACUGGAGGUCCGAACCGACUAAUGUUGCAAAAUUAGCGGAUGAGGUGUGGUUAGCGGUGAAAUGCCAAUCGAAAGUGGAGCUAGCUGGUUCUCCCCGAAACGUAUUUAGGUGCGGCGGUUAUUUUUUAUUAACAUAGGGGUAAAGCACUGUUUCGGUGCGGGCUGGUAAUUCGGUACCAAAUCGAGGCAAACUCUGAAUGCUAUAUUAAUUAGGUAGCCAGUAAGACUAUGAGGGAUAAGCUCCAUAGUCAAGAGGGAAACAGCCCAGAUCAUCAGCUAAGGCCCCAAAAUAAUUACUAAGUGACAAAGGUUGUGAAAAGGCUUAAACAACCAGGAGGUUUGCUUAGAAGCAGCAAUCCUUUAAAAAGUGCGUAAUAGCUUACUGGUCUAGCACUUUUGCGCCGAAAAUUUACGGGACUAAGUAAUUUGCCGAAGCUGUGAAACAUUUAAAAAUGUUGGUAGGGGAGCGUUCCAUUAUAGAAUGAAGUAUUAGCGAAAGCAAAUAUGGACAAAAUGGAAGUGAGAAUGCCGGAUUGAGUAGCGAAAACAUUGGUGAGAAUCCAAUGCCCCGAAAUCCUAAGGAUUCCUUCGGAAGGUUCGUCCACGAAGGGUUAGUCAGGACCUAAGACGAGGCCGAAAAGCGUAGUCGAUGGAUAAUAGGUUAAUAUUCCUAUACUAAAUAUUUAAUAAGUAAGGCCUUUAAGGGACGAAGAAGGCUACAUUAGCCGGAAAUUGGUCACCGGUUUAAGCAUCUAGGUUUUAAAAAACUAAAGUGUGAAUACAAGAUAGUAAAAUAUCAAAGUAAUCGAUGCCAUACUUCCAAGAAAAGCUUAAAGGCCGUUUAAUUAUUUACCUGUACCAGAAACCGACACAGGUGGGAAGGUAGAGUAUACCAAGGGGCGCGAGAGAACCCUUCUUAAGGAACUCGGCAAAAUAGCUCUGUAACUUCGGGAGAAAGAGUGCCUAUUUAGGCUUCAAUAUCAAGUUCCAAGCAACUGUUUAACAAAAACACAGGUCUCCGCUAAGUUGAAAAACGAUGUAUGGGGGCUGACGCCUGCCCAGUGCCGAAAAGUUAAUGGAAGUAGUUAGAUAUAUGUCAAUAUAUAUCAAAGCUAAUGACUGAAGCUUCGGUGAACGGCGGCCGUAACUAUAACGGUCCUAAGGUAGCGAAAUUCCUUGUCGGGUAAGUUCCGACCCGCACGAAUGGCGUAACGAUGGCCACACUGUCUCCUCCUGAGACUCAGCGAAGUUGAAAUGUUUGUGAAGAUGCAAUC
rnacentral:rRNA from 1 species